GAAUUCCCAGGACUAGCCUCGUCACCCCCAUGUACCUCUCUCUGCAGACGCCGCUCGCCGCCUGGCCGGGGGUCGCCGCGGGCACCUCGGGGGGCCCUGCCCUGCCCUGCCCUGCCCUGCGGAGCCCGCCCCGACCUCCCGCCGCGCCGUCCGCCUCCCGCACCGACCCUCCCCGCCGACCUUGACGCCCGAGCGGGGCGCGCCGCGAGCCUCGCGUCCUCGGGUCCCCGCGGGGCCCCACCCCUUCCCGGGCCGGAGGCGAGGGUAGGUGGGUUCCCCGCGCGGAGCCGCCCGGCCCGCUCCUUCUGCUCUCUCCAUCCAGCUCCCCAGCGCGGGGCUGCGCGGCGGCGGCCCCCGGAGGACACACACGCACGCUCCGGAGGGCUGAGCCCGGGACGCGCUCGGCGCGGGGGAGGGUGGGGGGGCGCCCCGGCCCCGGCCCCGGCCCCGGCCCUCCGCCCUCCGCGCGCCCCCGGGUGCAGGUCGGGAGCCCCUCCUUUCCCGGCCCUGCGCGCCGCCGGGGCGAGGCCAAAGGUGAGGGGUCGGCGCUCGGUCAGCGGGCGGGGACCGCAGGGCUCCCAGGCGCCGGGCAGCCCCCUCCCCGCCGUUUCGCCCGGCGGUCCUUGCAGUAACUUUGUUCCGAAGGCCGGAGGGGAGGGGAGACGCCGAGGGGCCCCCGGAGAGGCCGGCGAGCGCCGCGACUCUGGAGGCCCGGCUGGAGAGCAAGUCCCCGGGCGGCCCCGGGGCUGGGCGCGCGGCUGGGAGGCGUCGCCGCCGCCGCCGCCGCCGCCGCCGCCGCCGCCGCCGCCGCGAUGCGCUCUGCCUAGCGGGGCUGCCGGGGGCGCCCGAAGGCCGCCGCUCCAAGGACACGCGGCCCCCCGCUCCCCGCGCGCCCCGGCCCAGACGCCGCCGGCGCCCGAGCCAGUACCGAGCCGAGCGGGCGAGCGGAGCUGCGGGGAGCGCGGCGAGGGGCGGCAGGAGGGAGGGCGCGCGGGAGGCGGCCCCUCCUCGGCGAGCCAUGCGUGCCGCGGGCAGCUGAGGAGCCGCCGGGCGCCGCUGCCAAGUCCCCGCUCCGCUUUUGUCUUGCCCUCCAGUGAAUGGGAAGAUGGAGAUGGAUGUUGA
rnacentral:lncRNA from 1 species